UACGUAGGCAGCGAGCGUUGUUCGGAAUUACUGGGCGUAAAGAGUGCGUAGGCGGUUUUCUAAGUUUGGUGUGAAAUCUCCCGGCUUAACCGGGAGGGUGCGGCGAAUACUGAGAUGCUGGAGUGCGGGAGAGGUAAGCGGAAUUCCUGGUGUAGCGGUGAAAUGCGUAGAUAUCAGGAGGAACACCUGCGGUGUAGACGGCUUACUGGACCGUAACUGACGCUGAGGCACGAAAGCGUGGGUAGCAAACAGG
rnacentral:rRNA from 1 species